GUCGUGUGUGAAACUUGUGGUGUGCAUCUGACGGGCGAAAUUUUGGAAACAUCAGGCAGAAUUGGGAAUAUCACAAGUUGUGAACAAGACAUUGUGGUGUCUUUGCCAUCAUUCUCUCAUCUCGAUGCCAGAUGGCCAUUAAGAAGGAUCAUAAAUGUGUGAUCCUGAGCACGGAGAAAAGAUUGUUGCUGAUAUAGAGUUUUGUAAAGAUGGAUCCCACAGUCCACGACUGAAAGAAGUAGGACAGAAAAUUCCAUCUUCAUCGAAAAGGGGAGGUUUGCAUUUUAAGGAGCAGUACAUAUUGGCCGCCAUGUAGCUAUGUAGUUGCUUUGAAGAAUUUUUUCCCUUGUCUGGUGAUUGGUUGGACUUUGAAUACCUCCUAUCCUUAUAGCCAUGGAACACGUGACAUUGACUCCAUUUACACUUGAGGAAGCAAUAACGAACAUAUUUGCAACAAGUAUUAUUUGUGACCAUAAAACCAAAAAUUGUUUAUUUUUUAAAGCACCUAUAUUUAAAAGACAUCUAGCGGAGGAAUUGCUUGUUACUGAGUACUCUACUGAACUGUCAAUUUGUUCGUUGUCAGGGGGCUACAUCGAGUUGGUUGCCUCGCGAAUUGGAAAUGUUUUGCCGAAUUCCAGGAUAUCGCCAAGUGUGCCAUAUUGUCACAAUCGUUUUUCUCCUUAGGAUAUUACCAAUGUGCAGUUGAAUU